rnacentral:rRNA from 1 species
GAUGAACGCUGGCGGCGUGCCUAAUACAUGCAAGUCGAGCGAACAGACGAGGAGCUUGCUCCUCUGACGUUAGCGGCGGACGGGUGGGUAACACGUGGAUAACCUACCUAUAAGACUGGGAUAACUUCGGGAAACCGGAGCUAAUACCGGAUAAUAUAUUGAACCGCAUGGUUCAAUAGUGAAAGACGGUUUUGCUGUCACUUAUAGAUGGAUCCGCGCCGCGUUAGCUAGUUGGUAAGGUAACGGCUUACCAAGGCAACGAUGCGUAGCCGACCUGAGAGGGUGAUCGGCCACACUGGAACUGAGACACGGUCCAGACUCCUACGGGAGGCAGCAGUAGGGAAUCUUCCGCAAUGGGCGAAAGCCUGACGGAGCAACGCCGCGUGAGUGAUGAAGGUCUUCGGAUCGUAAAACUCUGUUAUUAGGGAAGAACAAAUGUGUAAGUAACUAUGCACGUCUUGACGGUACCUAAUCAGAAAGCCACGGCUAACUACGUG